AGCAUAAAAUAUCUUUCCAUUUUCUUUAUGUCUUCUUAAAUUUCUUUCAAUGAAUAUCUUAUAGUUUUCAUUGAUAGGUCUUUCACUUCCUUGGUUAAAUUUAUUUCUAGGUAUUUUAUUCUAUUUGUUGUGAUCCUAAAUGGAAUUGUAUUCUUGAGUUCUCUUUCUGCUAGUUUGUUAUUAGUGUUUAGAAAUGCAACUGAUGUUUGUAUGUGGAUUUUGUACCCUGCAACUAUACUGUAUUCAUUAAUUAUUUCUAAUAGUUUUUUCCUGGAUUCUGUAGAGUUUUCUAUAUUUGGAAUUAUGUCCAAAAAAUCUAAAAAUACUGAGUUAAACACUUUGUCAAAGAAGUGCUUGUUUUCUCAUUUCCUAAAGCGGAAGUUUAUGACAGAGAAAAAUAUGCCGUGUAGUAAAAGACAUUUCAGCUUUUUAUGAGCUGGCUUUUCACAUUCCUUGUUUGUCCUUUUAAUUUGUUUCUUGAUAUAUGAAGACUAUAAACUUGAAACAAAGAGUUAGCUAUCAGAUCUUGAUAAUAAUAUUAUAAUUGGAGAAACAUAAUAGAAAAAAUAGAUACUUUAUGAUAUUGUGAUAAUUCUGAUGAUCUGAAGAUAAUGUCUUGGCAAGUUACAUUUACAUUUCAGGCUCUUGGAUGUCAAUUACUUACAAUAACAUUAAGAUAGUAUUAUUUUUAAUUGCUACAAAGUGGUAAGCUUUUUAUUUAAACAUCCAGCAAGGAGAAAGAAGGCAUUUUGUUAUUAUAAACACACACUUCCCAAAGUAAAUAGUCUUUCAAAAUAACAGGCAUGCCAAGUCUUAGUGAGUUUUGUUAAACCUCCUUAACUGUCUGCCGUGCCCCCGACUUCUUUCAAAUGGAUGUGCAUGGAUGUGGAAAACAAUCCAUUUAUUAUACAUGCCUCAUCUUUACCCUUUAGGAUCCUACUAAAUGUGUUUUACCUGGUACUGUUUAUUAAAGAUGGAAGCUGUCUUGAUUUAGAGACAAUUCAUGUAAGGUAGGUUAAGCAGUCAAAUAUUUCUUGAGGCUUAUGUUCAGCACCUCAGCCACCUACUGAGAAGUUAAUUAAUUCAGUCCAAAAUGAAAUUAUAGGGCAGUUUAGUGCUGUUUGUGUUAACUGCCAUUGGAAUAUAAUCACCUGUGUUACCAUGAAUGAGGAACAACUGUAUUAGACAGAGGUGGAAUGCUGCACAGGAACAAGAAGAGAAGUGCUUUGGCAGGAAGAAUAUCUGUCCUUGUGGUCAGAAUUUAUCAAAACUCAUUGUCUUUUUAAAAAGUGAAUUAUUGAAUGGCUGUGGAAAGCAUUGUAAUAGAAAUAUGAAGGAGAAGAAAAGAUAAAUUCCAUCCGAACACAUCUGGGAGAACUGGAAGAAGUGCUGUUUGAGCCAGGACUUGAAGUGGAGCCUACUUCCCCUCCCCUUGAAUAUGGACUUAGUGAUUCUCUCCUAAUGAAUAGAAUAUGGUGGAAGUGAUGCUGUAUGACUCGUGAGGCUAGGUCAUAAAAAGGAUAGCUUAUCCCUAAGCACUCUCUCGGAUCACUCACUUUGAGGGAAGCCAGCAACUACACUCAAACAGUCCUGGAAGAGGCACAUGUGGAGAGGAGCUGAGACCACCCACCAGCCAGCACCGGCUUUUGAGGGAACCACUUCGGAAGCAGAUCCUCAAGCCCAGGCAUGACUGCAACGUGCUGAGAAAUUCCAAGCCAGAACCACCAGCCAAGCGCCUCCUAAAUUCUUGACCUAUAGAAACGGAUAAUAAGAUAAUAAAUGUUUAUUGUUUUAACCAGUAA
rnacentral:lncRNA from 1 species